rnacentral:ncRNA from 1 species
CCGGUCGUAUGCCAAACCAUUCGCGAGGAUGGGACGGAAAGCCAAGGAUCUCUUAAAAAGAAUGAGACGGCCAGGUUGCAAGA